rnacentral:rRNA from 1 species
GGUCGCUGCCACCGGUCGGGUCUAAGACCUGUGCUGGUAGCGGCGGCCCUCCUCCGGAGGACCAUGGGUACCCUUCACUGUGGUGGUCAUGGGGUUCCGGACGUUUACUUUGAGGAAAUUAGAGUGUUCAAAGCAGGCGAUAGCCCGAAUACGUCAGCAUGGAAUAAUGGAAUAGGACUUUGGUACUAUUUUGUUGGUUUUGAGGACCGAAGUA